UCUAGAACUCAAGAUAUGAGCUGAAAACCGAACAGUGUUUGAGCUGCAGGACAGGUUCCGACUUCUCCGUUGUUGCUAAAAUUUGAACUUGAAAACGGCAGAAUUGAGUCUUGGACCCUUCAUGAAAGUUUCAGGUCUAUGUCUUAUCUUUCCAUC
rfam:Populus trichocarpa isolate Nisqually-1 chromosome 1, whole genome shotgun sequence.